rnacentral:rRNA from 1 species
AGAGCGAACGCUGGCGGCAGGCCUAACACAUGCAAGUCGAGCGCCCGUAGCAAUACGGGAGCGGCAGACGGGAUAGUAACACGUGGGAACGCGCCCUUCGGUUCGGAAUAACUCAGGGAAACUUGAGCUAAUACCGGAUACGCCCUUACGGGGAAAGAUUUAUUGCCGAAGGAACGGCCCGCGUCCGAUUAGCUAGUUGGUGAGGUAAUGGCUCACCAAGGCGACGAUCGGUAGCUGGUCUGAGAGGAUGACCAGCAUCACUGGGACUGGGACACGGCCCAGACUCCUACGGGAGGCAGCAGUGGGGAAUUUUCCGCAAUGGGCGAAAGCCUGACGGAGCAAUGCCGCGUGGAGGUAGAAGGCCCACGGGUCGUAAACGUCCUUUUCUCAGAGAAGAAGCAAUGACGGUAUCUGAGGAAUAAGCAUCGGCUAACUCUGUGCCAGCAGCCGC